GACGAACCGUGUAAACGUUGUUCGGAUUCACUGGGCUUAAAGGGCGCGUAGGCGGGUGGUCAAGUCAGGGGUGAAAUCUUUCAGCUCAACUGGAAAACAGCUUCUGAUACUGGCCAUCUUGAGGGAGGUAGGGGCAUGUGGAACUUCCGGUGGAGCGGUGAAAUGCGUAGAUAUCGGAAGGAACGCCGGUGGCGAAAGCGACGUGCUGGACCUUUUCUGACGCUGAGGCGCGAAAGCCAGGGGAGCAAACGGG
rnacentral:rRNA from 1 species